AGUGAAUAGAUACCCGGGUAGUCCACGCGGUAAACGAUGAAUACUAGGCGUAGGUGGAGUGAAAUCCAUCUGUGCCGAAAGCAAACGCGAUAAGUAUUCCGCCUGGGGAGUACGGCCGCAAGGCUAAAACUCAAAGGAAUUGACGGGGGCCCGGCCACAAGACAGCGGAGGCGUGUGGUUUAAGUUUACGUAUGCAACACGAAGAACCUUACCUGGGUUUGGUACAUCUGCGUAGUAGUGAACUGAAAGGGGAACGGACUCUUCGGAGAGCGCAGACAGGUGCUGCAUGGCUGUCGUCAGUUCGUGUCGUGAGAUGUUGGGUUAAGUCCCGCAACGAGCGCAACCCCUACUUGCCAGUUACAAGUGUCUGGCGAGACUGCCGGUAGAAAACCGAGGAAGGUGGGACGACGUCAAGUCAGCAUGGCCUUUAUAUCCAGGGCUACACACACGCUACAAUGGGCGGUACAGAGGGAAGCGAAGGGGCGACCUGGAGCGAAUCCCACUCAAAGCCGUUCGUAGUUCAGAUUGCAGGCUGCAACCCG
rnacentral:rRNA from 1 species